GACGAACGCUGGCGGCGUGCUUAACACAUGCAAGUCGAACGGUGAAAGCGGAGCUUGCUCCGCUGGAUCAGUGGCAAACGGGUGAGUAACACGUGGGCAACCUGCCCCUGACUUCGGGAUAACUCCUCGAAAGAGGUGCUAAUACCGGAUACGAAUCCUGCAGGCAUCUGCGGGAUUGGAAAGUUUUUCGGUCAGGGAUGGGCCCGCGGCCUAUCAGCUUGUUGGUGAGGUAGUGGCUCACCAAGGCGACGACGGGUAGCCGGCCUGAGAGGGCGACCGGCCACACUGGGACUGAGACACGGCCCAGACUCCUACGGGAGGCAGCAGUGGGGAAUAUUGCGCAAUGGGCGAAAGCCUGACGCAGCAACGCCGCGUGAGGGAUGACGGCCUUCGGGUUGUAAAGCUCUGUUGUAAGGGAAGAAACAAAUGACGGUACCAUGGGAGGAAGCCCCGGCUAACUACGUGCCAGCCGCCGCCGUAA
rnacentral:rRNA from 1 species